rnacentral:rRNA from 1 species
UACGGAGGGUGCAAGCGUUAAUCGGAAUUACUGGGCGCAAAGCGUGCGCAGGCGGUUUGUUAAGUCUGCUGUGAAAUCCCCGAGCUCAACUUGGGAAUUGCAGUGGAUACUGGCAGGCUGGAGUAUGGUAGAGGAAGGUGGAAUUCCCGGUGUAGCAGUGAAAUGCGUAGAGAUCGGGAGGAACACCAGUGGCGAAGGCGGCCUUCUGGACCAAUACUGACGCUCAUGCACGAAAGCGUGGGGAGCAAACAGG